AUUGAACGCUGGCGGCGUGCCUCAGACAUGCGAGUCGAACGCGAAAGUUCCCUUCGGGGGAGUAAGUAGAGUGGCGUCCGGGUGAGUAACACGUAGGUAAUUUACUUUGGGUGGGGAAGUAGCAGCCGGAACGGACUAUUAAUACCGCAUAAUGCAGCGGCUCGACAUCGAGACAGUUGUUAAAGCGGGGAUCUGACAAGGACCUCGCGCCUAAAGAGAAGCCUGCGUCAGAUUAGCUAGUUGGUAGGGUAAUGGCCUACCAAGGCUGUGAUCUGUAGCCGGCCUGAGAGGGCGGUCGGCCACACUGACACUGACACACGGGUCAGACUCCUACGGGAGGCAGCAGUCGGGAAUUUUGGGCAAUGGGCGCAAGCCUGACCCAGCAACGCCGCGUGAAGGAUG
rnacentral:rRNA from 1 species